CAGUAGUUUCGGAUGCCCGGGCUAGGCUCGGCGGAGAGCGAGUCGGCGUGAAUGAGAGCAAACCAACAGGGCUGUGCGUGGCGCGUAAAGAAGUGUUGAAGAAGAGAGAGACAGAAGAAAAUCACCAUAAAAAGUCAGACACGAGAGCUUAGAAGUCAAUUAAGACAGGGCUUGGAAGUGGCAUUAGGAAUUCUGUGCUCAAGAAUUUUUGCAUCCAUCAAAUCCUAGAAAUUAGAGUCUGCACAUUACUACCAGGUACCAUUUUUACCUUAUACCCUAAUUAAAGAUUUUAGCCAAACUUCUAAAUAAUGAGAUUUAAAAUAUUCAUAAGGAAUUAAUAAUCUAGCAUUUGUUCUUCACAAAGUACUUACUCAGUGAACAAAGAAUUUUAAAUUUACCGAAAAAACAAAAGACUUCAUAUAUUUGAGGAUUCUCAGUAUGUCCUUCAGGUGGGAGCUAAUCAUAAUUCCAAAACAAACAAACACAAAUGCCAUAGUCCCAAGUGCUGAAAUUCCAAAAGAUCAAAAUACUGAAAAUAUAAUUCUAAAAAAAUUUUAAAAAUUUUAUUUACACUUUUAAAAGGGGAUUUAUUUGAGAAACAUAAAAACACAACAAAACACUUCCUAGGCCAUUUUACAUAAGAAAAUAGGCAAUAAUAACAUGCAUAUUUUUGCAAGCAUUAACACUUUGGCAUACUAAUGACAGUUGCAUGGGUAUAACAGUUAUAAGCAGUCAAGUUGUAUUCAUAUAAAUAGGUCAAAAGUGAAAUAUAUACUAUGGUUGGUAAUUACGUGUGUCCAGCUUUAUAACUUUGGUCAUAUGAAACAUAAUGACAGACAACAUAAAUCUUGUCUUGGCGAGACUGAUGGAAAACCAUGAUGAGUUACUGUCACAAAUGUAAUCACCCAAAGAGUCAAGAUCUCAAGAAAUUGUAUCUUUCACAAAUGCAGAUCUACAAAAAGGACAUUUCUUCAUUUAGUGAGGAAAUUUCAACAUUUCUAUAUAAAUGUGCAGUGCUUAUACAUAAAGUCAACAUUGUGAUAAUGCACUUUAAUGGAAUCAAAUUUGCAGCAUAAAACAAAUUAGAACUCUCUAAAAGUCUCCACACAAUUUAGAUCUCUAAUAUGGGAUAUGAUGUGAAGAUGAAAUACAUAGCAUAACAAAUUGGCGCUAUGUGUGAAGAGGUAGAAGUUAUAUGUGAUUGGAUAAUUUGGCUUGGAGGACUUCUUGUAUUUUUCAUCUGUGUUUUUACUUCUGUGAUCUGUAUUUGGGCAGUGGUUGUGGUCUACAAAUUUUGUAAGUAUAUGCAGUCCAUCUGAAAGUCUGAUUAUUGCUUGGCCUUUGCAAUUAAGGGAUUUUCAGCUUUUGCAGCACCAAUAAUAAUUAGCUUUUAAACUUUUAUCUUUCACUAUUAAGAAGCCUCAUACACUUAACUUAUCACAGCCUUUUUGUGAGGGAACAAUUUCACAGAUCUCUUCCACUGUGUUGUAAGGAAUACAGUAGCAGGAAUGAUACUUGGCUUCCUCAACGCCAAGUGUGUAUUAGUAACGGAUCUUCAGAGAGACUCAAUCAAUAGGAUAUGUAUAUAGAUACAUGAGAGGGGAUUUUUAGAAGAAUUGGCUAACAUCUUUAUGGUGGCUGAGAAGUCAUAGCGCAGGUCGUCUACAAGUUGGAGACCCUAAGAUGCAGGUAGUGUGGCUCAGUCUAUGUCUAGUAACCUCAGAACCCAGGAAGCUGGUGUAAGUUUCAAUCUGAGGUCAAAAGCUUCAGGACCCAAGAAACAGCUGGUGGAGGUCCUGGAGUCCAAAAGUCAGCAAACCUAGAAUUCUGAUGUCUAAGGCGGCAGAAUAAAAGUCUUUUCAGUUUGGGAGGCUGAGGUGGGUGGAUCACCUGAGGUCAGAAGUUUGAGACCAGCCUAGCCAACAUGGCGAAACCCCAUCUCUACUAAAAAUACAAAAAUUAGCCAGGUGUGGGGACACGUGCCUGUAGUCCCAGCUACUUGGGAGGCUGAGGCAGGAGAAUCACUUGAACCUGGGAGGCAGAGGUUGCAGUGAGCUGAGAUCACGCCACUGCACUCCAGCCUGUGGGUGACACAGUUGGACUCUGUCUCAAAAAUAAUAAUAAUAAUACUAGUAAAAAGUAUUUUCAGUUAUCAGAGAGAGACCAAUUUACCCUCAGCAUUUGUUCUCUCCAGGUCCCUGUCUGAUUGAAUAAUGCCUACCAACUUUGAGGGCAGGUCUUCCCUGCCUAGUCCACUCAGAUUCACACCCUAAUCUCUUCUGGAAAUACCUUCACAGACACAUGCAAAAUAAUGCUUUACCAGGUUUCUAGGCAUUCUUUAAUCCAGUCAAUUUGACACCUAAAAUUAAGUCCACAGGUUGGCGCACUGUCAAUUUAGCACUGACAUGUAACCCCUUAAACCAAGCUUGUCCAACCUAUGGCCCAUGGGCCACAUGAGGCCCAGGAUGGCUUUGAAUGUAGCCCAAUGCAAAUUGAUAAGCUUUCUUAAAACAUUAUGAGAAUUUUUGUGAUUUUUAAAAAAAUCUCAUCAGCUGUCGUUAGUGUUAGUGUAUUUUAUAUGUGGCCCAAGGCAAUUCUUCUUCUUUUAAUGUGGCCCAGGGAAGCCAAAAGAUUGGACACCCUUGCCUUAAACCAUACUUAAUUUCCAAAUAAAGACAAUAACAAGUUAAUAGCUCUACCUAACAUAAUGCAACUAUUCUGUGACUGUGAAUUUCAAGAUUUUAGACAUUGGGGAUUUUAGACUUUAGAAAUUUUGAUCUUUUGAGAUUUCAACAUUUGGGAUUAUGGCAUUUAGGAUUGUGUCUUUUGGGAUUAUAAUCCAAACCCCCUUUGGGCAAACUCGUUUAACACACAUUCUCAUAAGUCUGUAUAUAUUUAAAUAAGGUUGUGACAUGAGUAUACAACUUUUCGUUGAAUAAAGAUACAAACUGAUUCCCUUAUAUCAGCAAGUCAUAUAGAUUCUCUUUGUCAGAAGAUAUUUACAAUUUUAAUUUUUUGCUUUAUAAAUUCUAGUAAGAGCUUCUAGCCUUUCUUGGCUGUGAGUUAAAAAACUGACCUCAUAAUUCCUUCCUUCCUUCUUUUCAUUCUUCCAUAUGUCUUUUUUCUUUAUUUUGCUCUUCUGCCCCCCACCAUCUUCAGUCCACUCAAUAGCCAGCUCCUACUCUAAAAACAGCAAAUGGAAUUACAAUAAACUAAUAUACUUAACUUGUCCUGCAGAGUCCACUGCAUCUUUUGGUUCAUCAUUAUUUUGUGCGUAGAGAUUUUUGUUUUUUCACUGAAUAUAAUUGCGUUGACUUCCUACCAAGUGGUUUAAUUCUCAAUUCUUUCUCACACAUCUCUUUCUUACACAUUUAGAAGUUGAGCCCACACCCAUUCUCUAAUCAUCACAGCUGACGUUCAUUUGCUGUUCUCUCGUUAUUUCAAUCAUUUGCUGCUUGGGUUUUAGAGUCUGUUCUUUUUUUUUUUUUUUUUUUUGCUUGACCAAAAGAGACUAGAAGGCUGUGAGUUGUGGCUCUUCUUACGAAUUGCAUGUGCUUAGUUUACUGUUUGUAUUAACAUCUCACCUGGGAGGCAGAGACACAUGAAAACAAGAUUCAGAGCUCUAAGGACAUUACUGGUGAUGCAAGCUGAUACAGACAGGAAAAUCAACAGAGCCCAGCAACAUCAAAGCAGCACUUGCUCUUUGGUCAUUUAGGAAUUGAAUCAAGAAUACCUAAUGUUAAAUGACGAGUUAAUGGGUGCAGCACACCAACAUGGCACAUGUAUACAUAUGUAACAAACAUGCACAUUGUGCACAUGUACCCUAAAACUUAAAGUAUAAUU